GGGCUUCCGCAGCUCACCACAAUGGACAGCUGAGAGAUCAGAACCAAGAUGGUGAAUGACUGCCUGAAUGUUGGAUAGUGUCUUAGUUUUCUCAUCACUGCGACAAAACACCUCUCCUCCAAACACAACUGAAGGAAGCAUCAUCAGCUUCGUUGCUGUGACUCUGCUGUGACUCUUCUCUCCAAGGACAGUGUGAGACAAACCUCAGCCCAGAAUGGCGUAAAAAGGAAUAGGGGUGUGUGAAACCUGUAUAGCGGUGUGUUGCUAGUUAACCUAGGCAAUGUUAAAAAGACAUUAUCUAAAUGACUUCUCAUUGCUUCAUCUGAUCAUAUGAUCUAAUAUGACCAUCUGCCUCAUCUGUCUAAGUUAAUACUUUUGAAAGAGACUAUACCUUAUUCUCAUGCAGUGAAGUAGGUUGAACAUAUUAUCAGUGCAAGCAUCG
rnacentral:lncRNA from 1 species